ensembl:lncRNA
GUUUGUUGUUCGGGGCUGCUGUGCUGCACAACUACAAUAGACGUACCUACUACAACGGUGUGCUGGAAAGAGCUUGCGGAAAUGAUGAUGACGAUGAUGAUGCUUUUUGUUUCCCGAACCACUUUUUUUUCCUGUUUUUUAAAGAAGAAGCUGCUUAUAAUAAGCCUAUAUUCUUCUUCUGUUAGGAUCCUAUAAAGCAAACAGAAACUGGACAAGAAUAGAUGAUAGAGAAACAGAAGGUCUGAAGAUGGAUGAGCCCUGUAGACCAUGCAGGAAAAGCCCUCACAUGCACAGCAGCAGCCACCACUCCCCUGCAUGUUUCUGGCUACCACACACCUAAUCAGUCCUGAUUAGAUGCACUGUGAGGGACGAGGAAGCCAGAAGUUUCCUUUGAGAAGUUCUGAUGACAGGACAGAAGAAAGCAAUGGGCUCCCUUAAAUAAAGCCUUCAUCAGGCUCUGGGAAGAAACAUGUGGCUCUGUUUAUGGCAGGGUAUACCAGUGUUCUGUUCUCCAACUGAUCUUGCAGUGUCAUCUUGAUUUACCUCCUUCCUUUAGCACGCUUUACUUCACAGCUAUUACUUUAACACCGUCAGCUUCAUAUAGACGCACGCUCAAGCUCCUCUGUAAGUACACAUGCACCUCUAAACUUAACGUAUUGUGGCAAGCACUCACACACCCAUCUACACAAACCAAAGAGAUCCAAAAUCAGCAUCAGCAAGCACAAUAGCAAUUAGUAAGGGGGACAAUUUGUUCACAUCUGGAGUGGAUUUGCUUGCCACCAGAAUACCCAGCAAUCUCUUCUUUCAGGGUCUGGCACAGUGGGAAAUGACUAUGUGUGUUUUUAUGUGUUUUGUUUAAAACAGAUGGGCGGUUUACAUUAGUGGGGAUGGGUGAUAAACAGCUUAGGAGGGAUGGUGGGGAACCACCAGGACAUCAUUGUCCCGUCCAGCUACACAGAAAUGGCUGAGCAUUCGACUGAAAGCUAGACAGAGACGAUACAUCUGCAUGAUGUAACCACUGAGCAUUUGGUGUGUGAUAAUUUCUGGGCAGAAGUUCUCUGCGAUGAGGUGGGGUGUCAAGUCACAGAGAGCAAACAUCAGAGUUCUGCAGGAGGUUGAUAAGGUAGAUGGGUGGAGCUGCAGAGCUGUCCAGUUACACAGUCAUCAGUUACAUCAUGAAGGCACUCUGCCCCAAAAAUUAUUUUAAAAAAGAGUUUUAAAUUAAUAGUUAAUGAAAAUACUCAGUCAUGAAAUGAUUUAUUUUUUUUGCUUUAUAUGCAAAAACAGGACAAAAACAACACUUAUUGAACAGAAUAAGUGUAUCUGAUAAUGUGCUUGAGGGAGUGUUUGUAGGUGUGCACAGUUUUAGUAAGCCCAGAGGUAAAAAUUUGUGAAAGAGAAUGAAAAAAUAAGAAAGGCAAGAUGAAUAACUAUAUAAAUAAAGCCAAUAAUAAUGAAAUAAGAAGAAAUGAAUAGUAGAAAGAUACUGUCAAGUUCUGUCUGUCUUCCAAGUCACUGCACUUAUAAAUAAAAGUCUGUUUCACAUAGUAACAUGUUGAAAUAAGCACUGUGAGAAACUCUGAGGGAAAGUGUUUAUAUUUACUACACUGUUAAAAAUGAAGUAAUGUAAAUAAUGUUAUAUUUAUGUGAUAAUUAUUGUAUGAAUUAAAUAUUGUCACUUCUGGCGUACCCUGUACAUUUGUCAGUAUUCUUGGCAAUACUGAGAAUCAAGUAGUUUUGGUGCAUAACUUAAUCAAACAGGAAGUGAAAGGAACAUACUGCAUAUCCAGGUUCAAAGGCUUGCAAGUCAGAGCACCUGCCUACACAUUUGCUGUUUAAAAGCACAGUAAUGUGAGUAUCAGUUAUAAGUUUACAAAACCGGUACAAAAAACAUUCUGAACCAUUUAAAAGGUUUUAGAAUCACUUGUAGCUUUAUCCAGAUGUUCAGAUGGCUUAGCUUAAUUAGUUUAAUUAUCUACUUACCUUUCAUUAAUGUCCGUUAUUGUGGGAACAACCAAAGUCUUAUGUUACAGUCUUCAUGUAUGCCACUCAGACACACUAGGGC